GGAGGUACCUGCACUACUCCCAGAAAGUCGCCCUCCUUUCCCGGCCGUGCUCUGUCUGGUCCGGAGGACAAAGGUCUAGCGAUGUCCAUCCCCUCCCCCAGUGAGGACAGCCGGAAAAGACCCUCUGUUGUGUACAGGAAGCAACUGGAAGACACUUUCCACAAAAAUGAUGGAGAAAAUAAUCAAGAAAAAUAAAAGUCACGGGAUCUAUAAAAUGGGAUCCAGUACAAGAAAGAAGCAAAAGGCAACCCCAGGAUUAUGAGAAAGAGAGCACAAGCAGUGCGGGGAGGGGC